rnacentral:rRNA from 1 species
CAGGCUUAACACAUGCAAGUCGAGGGGCAUCAGGAAGAAAGCUUGCUUUCUUUGCUGGCGACCGGCGCACGGGUGAGUAACACGUAUCCAACCUGCCCUUUACUCGGGGAUAGCCUUUCGAAAGAAAGAUUAAUACCCGAUGGCAUAAUGAUUCCGCAUGGUUUCAUUAUUAAAGGAUUCCGGUAAAGGAUGGGGAUGCGUUCCAUUAGGUUGUUGGUGAGGUAACGGCUCACCAAGCCUUCGAUGGAUAGGGGUUCUGAGAGGAAGGUCCCCCACAUUGGAACUGAGACACGGUCCAAACUCCUACGGGAGGCAGCAGUGAGGAAUAUUGGUCAAUGGGCGCUAGCCUGAACCAGCCAAGUAGCGUGAAGGAUGAAGGCUCUAUGGGUCGUAAACUUCUUUUAUAUAAGAAUAAAGUGCAGUAUGUAUACUGUUUUGUAUGUAUUAUAUGAAUAAGGAUCGGCUAACUCCGUGCCAGCAGCCGCGGUAAUACGGAGGAUCCGAGCGUUAUCCGGAUUUAUUGGGUUUAAAGGGAGCGUACGUGGACUGGUAAGUCAGUUGUGAAAGUUUGCGGGCUCAACCGUAAAAUUGCAGUCGAUACUGUCAGUCCUUGAGUACAGUAGAGGUGGGCGGAAUUCGUGGUGUAGCGGUGAAAUGCUUAGAUAUCACGAAGAACUCCGAUUGCGAAGGCAGCUCACUGGACUGCAACUGACACUGAUGCUCGAAAGUGUGGGUAUCAAACAGGAUUAGAUACCCUGGUAGUCCACACAGUAAACGAUGAAUACUCGCUGUUUGCGAUAUACAGUAAGCGGCCAAGCGAAAGCAUUAAGUAUUCCACCUGGGGAGUACGCCGGCAACGGUGAAACUCAAAGGAAUUGACGGGGGCCCGCACAAGCGGAGGAACAUGUGGUUUAAUUCGAUGAUACGCGAGGAACCUUACCCGGGCUUAAAUUGCAGUGGAAUGAUGUGGAAACAUGUCAGUGAGCAAUCACCGCUGUGAAGGUGCUGCAUGGUUGUCGUCAGCUCGUGCCGUGAGGUGUCGGCUUAAGUGCCAUAACGAGCGCAACCCUUAUCUUUAGUUACUAACAGGUUAUGCUGAGGACUCUAGAGAGACUGCCGUCGUAAGAUGUGAGGAAGGUGGGGAUGACGUCAAAUCAGCACGGCCCUUACGUCCGGGGCUACACACGUGUUACAAUGGGGGGUACAGAAGGCAGCUAGCGGGUGACCGUAUGCUAAUCCCAAAAUCCUCUCUCAGUUCGGAUCGAAGUCUGCAACCCGACUUCGUGAAGUUGGAUUCGCUAGUAAUCGCGCAUCAGCCAUGGCGCGGUGAAUACGUUCCCGGGCCUUGUACACACCGCCCGUCAAGCCAUGGAAGCCGGGGGUGCCUGAAGUCCGUAACCGCGAGGAUCGGCCUAGGGCAAAACUGGUAACUGGGGCUAAGUC